AAAAAGCUCGUAGUCGGAUUUUGGCUGAGAACGGUCGGUCCGCCGUUAGGUGUGCACUGACUGGUCUCAGCUUCCUGGUGAGGAGGUGUGCUUCAUCGCCACUUAGUCACCGUGGUUACUUUGAAAAAAUUAGAGUGUUCAAAGCGGGCUUACGCUUGAAUAUAUUAGCAUGGAAUAACACCAUAGGACUCCUGUCCUAUUUCGUUGGUCUCGGGACGGGAGUAAUGAUUAAGAGGAACAGUUGGGGGCAUUCGUAUUUCAUUGUCAGAGGUGAAAUUCUUGGAUUUAUGAAAGACGAACUUCUGCGAAAGCAUUUGCCAAGGAUGUUUUCAUUGAUCAAGAACGAAAGUUGGGGGCUCGAAGAUGAUUAGAUAUCAUCCUAGUCUCAACCAUAAACGAUGCCGACUAGGGAUUGGCGGAUGUUAAUUGAUGACUUCGCCAGCACCUUAUGAGAAAUCAAAGUUUUUGGGUUCCGGGGGGAGUAUGGUCGCAAGGCUGAAACUUAAAGGAAUUGACGGAAGGGCACCACCAGGCGUGGAGCCUGCGGCUAAAUUUGACUCAACACGGGGGAAACUUACCAGGUCCAGACAUAAGUAUGAUUGACAGAUUGAGAGCU
rnacentral:rRNA from 1 species